GACGAACGCUGGCGGCGUGCUUAACACAUGCAAGUCGAACGGAAAGACCAUGCUUUUGUGGCGUGCUCGAGUGGCGAACGGGUGAGUAACACGUGAGUAACCUGCCCUUGACUUUGGGAUAACUUCAGGAAACUGCGGCUCAUACCGGAUAGGAGCUCUUGCUGCAUGGUGGGGGUUGGAAAGAUUCGGCGGUUGGGGAUGGACUCGCGGCUUAUCAGCUGGUUGGUGGGGUAGUGGCAUACCAAGGCUUUGACGGGUAGCCGGCCUGAGAGGUGUGCCGGCGACAUUGGGACUGAGAGACGGAGCAGACUGCUACGGGAGGCAGCGGUGGAGAGUAUUGCACAAUGGGCGGAAGCCUGAUGCAGCGACGCCGCGUGCGGGAUGACGGCCUUCGGGUUGUAAACCGAUUUCGCCGGUGACGAAGCGGGAGUGACGGUAAUGGGUAAAGAAGCAACGGCUAACUACGUG
rnacentral:rRNA from 1 species